AGUGGCGACCGGGUGAGUAACACGUGACUAACCUACCUUCGAGUGGGGGAUAACCUCGGGAAACCGGGGCUAAUACCGCAUAAUGCCUACGGGUUAAAGGAGCAAUUCGCUUGAAGAGGGGGUCGCGGCUGAUUAGCUAGUUGGCGGGGUAACGGCCCACCAAGGCGAUGAUCGGUAGCCGGCCUGAGAGGGCGCACGGCCACACUGGAACUGAAACACGGUCCAGACUCCUACGGGAGGCAGCAGUGGGGAAUUUUGCGCAAUGGGGGAAACCCUGACGCAGCAACGCCGCGUGGAGGAUGAAGUCCCUUGGGACGUAAACUCCUUUCGACCGGGACGAUAAUGACGGUACCGGUGGAAGAAGCCCCGGCUAACUUCGUGCCAGCAGCCGCGGUAAUACGAGGGGGGCGAGCGUUGUUCGGAAUUAUUGGGCGUAAAGGGCGCGUAGGCGGUGCGGUAAGUCACCUGUGAAACCUCUGGGCUCAACUCAGAGCCUGCAGGCGA
rnacentral:rRNA from 1 species